rnacentral:rRNA from 1 species
UACGUAGGGUGCAAGCGUUGUCCGGAAUUAUUGGGCGUAAAGAGCUCGUAGGCGGUCUGUUGCGUCGGCUGUGAAAACCCGGGGCUCAACUCCGGGCCUGCAGCCGAUACGGGCAGACUAGAGUUCGGCAGGGGAGACUGGAAUUUACGGUGUAGCGGUGAAAUGCGUAGAUAUCGUAAGGAAGACCAGUGGCGAAGGCGGGUCUCUGGACAGUUCCUGACGCUGAGGCACGAAGGUGCAGGGGAGCAAACGGG